ensembl:lncRNA
CUAAUGCUAAAGCUGAAACUCCAGUACUUUGGCCACCUCAUGCGAAGAGUUGACUCAAUGGAAAAGACUCUGAUGCUGGGAGGGACUGGGGGCAGGAGGAAAAGCGGACGACAGAGGAUGAGAUGGCUGGAUGGCAUCACCGACUCAAUGGACGGCAAUUACCAGAGGCCAGAACACUCUCAUGUGGAUGAAAGAAUUUGAGAAGAACAAAUAAUUGAGGACAGAAGUUUUGGGUUUCUUUGUUGAUCUUCCUGCUUCCCAUGGUCUGGAUAUUAAGCUGAGUCUCUGAAACACCCACCUGGUCCAGCCAUGGACACCCUACACUUGAGAUCCCAGGAGAAAUAUUGGCUUAUAAGAUAAAUCAACAGAGAAACACUGUUUGGAACUUCUCUAGACCAAGUGUUCAGGGGACCUGGGUCCCUGAGUGGACGUUUACGUGUGAGUUGGACUGGGGACUUUUACUGGGCAGGAGGUACCAACACCUCAUCAGAGCCAUUUGCAUGGAAUUACUCUUCCUCAGAAUUACAUCAUCCAGAAUGGCAUCCCAAAAC